UACGUAGGGGGCAAGCGUUGUCCGGAUUUAUUGGGCGUAAAGAGCGUGUAGGCGGCUGGGUAGGUCCGUUGUGAAAACUCGAGGCUCAACCUCGAGACGCCGAUGGAAACCAUCCAGCUAGAGUCCGGAAGAGGAGAGUGGAAUUCCGGGUGUAGCGGUGGAAUGCGUAGAGAUCCGGAAGAACACCGGUGGCGAAGGCGGUUAGCUGGGCAGUUGCUGGACACUGAGGCGCGACAGCGUGGGGAGCAAACAGG
rnacentral:rRNA from 1 species